GCUCGCGUUGCCGGAGGCCGCCCCCUCCUCCUCCUCCUCCUCCCCUUCCCCUUCCCCCACCUCCCCAUCCUCCUUCGAGAAGGACACCCUCUCAGGAUACUUCACAUCCGAGCCAAGGUCGAAGUAAUCGUACUUGAUCGCCCCAGCGUCGUCGUCACCGCCCUCCCCGCCGCCAUCGCUCGGCUCGGCCACGGCCGCCGUGGGGGAGGCGAGGAGCAGCUCCCAGUCGUUCAGGUCCGCCGCUUCCCCGUCCAUCGGGGAGGAAGCAGACGACGGCGAGGGGUCACCUGGGUGGGUGGAGCCGAGCGGCGGAGGCGGUGGGAUUUGGAGAGGAGAGAGGAGAGAGCGUUGUGCCGUGUUGGGUGGGGAAGGGAAGGGAAGAUUUGCGGGUUUGCGAGGAAAAGGUGGUUAUUUUUGCAGGGGAAACACUUUGGAUUCUAGCGUUUUGGGUGGAAGGGGGGGAGGAGGAGAAGAACCUGAUUCGUUUUUGUUUGCACCAUCCAUCCAUCCAUUCACUGAAUGAUGGUUGUAUUCAAUGCACAAUUGUGUCUACCUCUAAAUAUUUUAAAAAAAUGUCUAAUUGUCUUGGGUUAAAAAAAUGUACAGUUUUACUAAUUUUAUAUAUAUAUACCUUAGACGUAAAGGGAGUAGUUACACAUGUAUAGAGGCUUUCUAUAUAUAUAUCCCUAGUGAAAUAUAUUAAUAUUAUUAUAAUAUAACUCUUAAUUACUGCUCCCUCCUUUUUCACAAGCUAAAACUUUGAAAAUGUCUAGAUUAAUCUAUAUAUUCAUUAUCAUCGAUAUGAAUCUAGACAAUAAUUAAAAGUCUUACCUCACGAAACAUAUAUAGUCCGAUUUUUCAAGAUGUAGGUAAUGUUCUAUUGUUUGCGAGAGAGUUGACUAUGCAAAACAAAAAAUAUAAUUAGAACAAGAUUUGGAAAAAAUGAAUUUAUUUAAUUUCAAAAGAAAUUUUGUAUAUACAACUUUUGGAAAAAAAUGUUUUGUUCAAUAAUUUAGAAAAUAUCUUUUUAAUAAUGGAAAAGCAUUACAUCUCCAACCUUUUCCGGUUAAACGUACCACCGAUGAGUUUUAGAACUAGAAUAAGAGCAACACCCAACUCCUAAUAAAUUGAACAUCGCCAUUGAUGGCGAGGAAUAUUCAUUUUCUAUAUGAGUAUCGAAAGAAAUGCGUGAACGGUAGAAACGAGAUGAAAUGUGAAAUGCAGGAGUAGAUUUUUAGAGGCCUGCAUGUCGAACCGGCGUUUCGUGGCGGCUACGAGCCCCGGGAUCUGCUCUCGCUUCUGGAAGCAUUCGCCGACAGAGAGUGCAUUUCUUGUCGAUUUCUUUGGCAUGUCGAAACCACAUUUUAGAUAUCUGUUCCUUUUAAGUGGAUCUAACGCCCUCGGUUUUCUCUGAUCCUUCUGUGACAGAAUGUCGAGUGAGAGCGAGAUUCUGGAGCUAUUCACCUUCGUCAUCAUUGGCAGGAAAGAAUAAAUCCUUUUGCAGAUUUUUCGCUUAUACUUAUGCAUACAGCUAAACUUAAAAUUUAGAACUUAACAUUGUAGUUAAUUUUUAGGAUUUUUCAUCACAUGCUUUAGAAUAAUAUGAACACAUAUAAUUUAUAAAUUAUUUUUAAUUAUUAAUAAGCCGUUUUAUUUGUGCUCGACUUCAGCUGAACAACGAGUCCGCAAAAUUACAACUGUCAGCGCAUUUUGAGUGAUCAUGAAACAGAUGAGUUUGGCACUUUGAAAGGUAAAGACCCUGUCCACGUCGCUCCUCUAGAUCUUUCUGUAACUUCAACCAUGAAUACGAAACUACCAGUUCAGCUGCUUUCUGCCGAAAAGGUUAUAUGCUCCGGGUGCACAAGUUAGCUCAGAGGGAAAAAAAAAUCAGCAGAUAAAAAGAGAAGAUUUUUUUUCUUCUGCAAAGUUUAUAUAUUUUUUUCUGUGAAGUCAGCAAACGUCAAAGUUAGGCCACCAGCAUCAGAUUGGCGCAUACAGCUUAAUAAAUUACCAGGUGCAGGUGCUGCCUGUUUUAUAUCACCCGUGUGCCAAUUCACAACCAUAAGAAAAGCACACGAGCUUUUCCAGUGUCUCGACGAAACAUCAUCUUCGUCAUUAGAGUGAUGAGGUUUGUUAGCCUGCAGAUUUAACGGAAACUGGUCCCUGGUUUAGCGAAUCCAUUAGCGCAUGGAGAUGGAGUGGCACAGCAACUGGGUCACCUGUUGCUGAUUUUGAUUCGGAGCAGUGGUUGGAAACCUUGGAGAUUUCUAGACGAGAAUCUGACGGCGGAGAAGUGUUUCGGUGGGCAUCUCACCUGGGGCCCGACCAAUUCUUUGUAUUGCAACUGAACGGCGGCGCCGGCGAUGGGGUCGCCGGCGCCGUGGAAGAUAGUGUACCAACUGCAUGCAGUGAAAACGUUUUUUUUUUUUUUGUAUUUUUGGGAACGAAACGAAAGAGUGUUGGAGUAGUAGCAAUGGACCGCGCUUACGCCGAGCUUGGUGUUGAUCUCUAAUCACGUCGGCGGCGCGCCGGCGCCGGCGAUGGCGUCGCCGGUGGGCAAGGGAUUGGUCGCGUACAACGCGGCCAUCUCCCGCUGCGCACGGGCGGGGCUGCACCGGCGGGCGCUGGAGCUGUUCGCCGAGAUGCGCGCGCGCGGCCUCCGCGCCGACGAGUACACCCUGCCGCCGGUCCUCAACUCCGCCGCGCUGCUCCGCGUCCCGCCGGCCGGCGCGCUCCACGCGCUCCUCCUCCGCGACGGCCUCGCGCUGCACCUCCACGUCUCCAAUGCCCUCGUUGACGCCUACGCCAAGCUGUCCCGCGUCGGCGCCGCGCUGGCCGUGUUCGACGAAAUGCCGCGCCGGGGCGGNNNNNNNNNNNNNNNNNNNNNNNNNNNNNNNNNNNNNNNNNNNNNNNNNNNNNNNNNNNNNNNNNNNNNNNNNNNNNNNNNNNNNNNNNNNNNNNNNNNNNNNNNNNNNNNNNNNNNNNNNNNNNNNNNNNNNNNNNNNNNNNNNNNNNNNNNNNNNNNNNNNNNNNNNNNNCGGUCCGGUCAGGGCCCGAGCCGUUCCUCUCGGUCGGCAACUCGCUCGUGUCCAUGUACGCCAAGACCGGCUCGCUCCGCGACGCGCGGACGGUGUUCGACGCGAUGCUCACCCGGUGCGCCAUCACAUGGACGGCGCUGAUCGUCGGGUACGCGCAGAACGGCCGGGGCAGGGAGUCCCUCGCCGUCUACGCCGACAUGGUCCGGUCCGGCUGCAGGCCGGACUACGUCACCUUCGUCGGCCUGCUCUUCGCCUGCAGCCACGCCGGCCUGGUCGACGCCGGCAAGGCUCACUUCCAGUCCAUGCAGUCCGAGCACGGCGUCGCUCCCGGACCGGACCACUACGCCUGCAUGGUCGACCUGCUAGGCCGUGCCGGCCGCCUCGACGAGGCCGUCGACCUGCUCGACGGGAGCCCGGCGGCCGAGCUCGACGCCACGGUCUGGAAAGCCCUCCUCGCCGCGUGCAGGACGCACCGGAACGCCGCGCUGGCCGAGCGGGCGGCGGCGAUGGUGUGGAGGCUGGACCCGGCGGACGCCGUGCCGUACGUCAUGCUGUCCAACCUCUACUCGCGGGCGAGGCGGUGGGGCGACGUGGCGAGGGUGCGCGCCCUGAUGAGGUCGCGAGGCAUCAGCAAGGAGCCCGGGUGCAGCUGGGUGUUGGUGGCCGGCGUGACGCACGUGUUCCACGCGGACGACGGGGAUCACCGGCGCGCGGCGGAGAUCCACCGGAAGGUGGAGGAGAUGACGGCGAGGAUCCGGGCGCGGGGGCACGUGCCGGACACCGAGUGGGCGCUGCAGGACGAGGCGCCGGAGGGGAGGGAGGAGGGGCUGGCUCACCACAGCGAGAGGCUCGCCGUCGCGUUCGGCCUCCUCGCCGUGCCGGCCGGCGCGCCGAUCCGCGUGUACAAGAACCUCCGGGUGUGCGGCGACUGCCACGCCGCGAUCAAGACGGUCGCCGAGGUGUACGGCAGGGAGAUCAUACUGAGAGAUUCCAACUGCUUCCAUCACAUGAAGGAUGGGGCCUGUUCUUGUGGAGACUACUGGUAACUGAGCUUGGUAGAAUCGUGUUGUCUUCGACCAUUUUUUGGUUCAUUUAGUGUAGGCAAUUAUUAGCGAACUCAGUCCAAUGAGCAUCUGGAGAGACAUGUUUCCUUCGAAAAAUUGCUCGUAUUUCUAGUAGAUCAGAUUGCAUCAAGGAUGACAAUGAUGAUGUACAAUGGGCUAGUAUGCUAUCAGAAAGGCCGCCUUUAGUCUUUUACUAGAAAAUCCUACCAUUCUAUUCAUCCAUCUCCUUUACAGCAUCCUGCAAAUCAUAGAAAAAUAUAUUUCAAAACUAGCAAAUUUGUAGCGGCAUAAAUCUAAUUAACCUAGAUUGAUUUAAAAACAGUUAAAAUUGCCUUAUGAAACAUAUAGAUUCAAAUACUGCCGAAUCCACAUUUGUUCAGUACGUGUGAUGCAUCACAAUAAGUCAAAUACCUUUGCAAGUCGUGUUACAUAUGUAGCAGCAAUGGCUGUAAAUAAUAGCCCUAUGCCCAGUGUCAGUAGCUGGCUGUUUCCUCCCAAACCGAUUUCUGACUCAUCUUGCUGUCAAAAUGGGAGCCAUGUCAUGUUUCACCGUAAAUAAAUAAAUAUGCAAGAACCAUGUAUUUCAAUAUUCAAGCCACUUGAUAAGCAUUGUAAAAAAUAUUAUGUGAUUUUCUUAUGCAAAUAUAAAUGGAAGACAACACGAUCAUUCGGCAAUGACAUGGAAAAACUCUCCUCACCCCAGACAUGUAACUAUUUCAUAGUAUUACCAAACCAAACACUACACCCUAAUAUUAUCAUGACAUAUCAAAGAUGUUAAUUGCUAAAUCAGCGAUGGGAUCAAUUCUACAGGCAGAACAAUGCAAGGCUAAAGAACAUCUUGACUUGAAUUACACAUUUGCAAUUCUGGUUAUUUAAACAUCUAAAAAUAAUUGCCCUUUGGACACUUCAUUACAAAGCAACGGUGGUCAGCAUACUGCAAAACACUCCCAAAUUUCUGGCAUGGACCAGCUCUUAUAGGUUAUUAGUGCAAUACUAUAUUAGAAAGCACAUAUGGUAAAUACAUGCAUUCCUAGAAAAUAGAGAGAGUACACAAAUACCACUGAUCAGUUAUUAGGAGCUGAAAGAGUUUGGUGGUUCAAAAGAUUUGGUUUUCAUAGAACAGAAUGGAUAAAAUGACGUUGGAAGUAAUGUGCUGGUAAUGAACUAAAACAAUUCAAUGAGUUUAAGAACUUACAAUUAUAGCUCGCCCAAAUGCACCAGCACUGACAUAAGCCCAUGUUCCUGGAAGCAUUCCCAACCAACUGCAUGCCAAUGGUAGAAAGAUAGAUGUUAACAAGGUUUUGACAAAAAGGUACACUAUUGACAAUCCUUCAAUUUUUGCCUUUUAAAAAGAUAUGAGAUUUGCAAUGGAUUAUUGGUAUCUUAACAAGUACGUACUAUAUGAUUUUUGCUCCUCUUUUGGUAUAAUAAAUUGCAUCACUACCAAAUAGAGGCAUUAUAUUGAGGUCACGUUGCCAUUCCUGUUUAAUUGACAGAACAUGCUAUAAUGGAAUCAUGGAAUAGCAGGAGUUGGUAGAAACUAACCUUCCCAAGACAUAAGGCAAGAAUUUCACUGAUGUCAAGCCAUACAAGUAGUUCCCAAGGGAGAAAGGUAAUAGGGGACUAAGUCGAAGCAGAGUAACAACCUUAAAUCCAUUUUCACCUAUUGCUUUAUCAAUUGCCAGAAACUUCUUGUUUCCUUCAACCAAUUUGAGAAUUCGCUCUCUGGCAAAGUAUCUAGCAAUAAGAAAGGCCACUGCUGCAGCUAGCUGCAAAUUUGGCAAAGUUCAGUAAGAAAAUGCAGCUAAAGGCAGAAUUAACAAAAAAAAUGUGCUGUUGAUGUGGAUUUACUUACUGUCCCGCUGAUUGAGACAAUAAUUGUACCAGUAAUACUACCAAACAAUAGACCUGCUGACAUUGUUAAUGGUAUCGCUGGAAUUGCAAGAACCUGAAUUCAAUGAAAUUCAUAGUAUUAUUAUGAGGCUGAAGUUCCAAUCCAGGUGCCAGGAAUAUAUGACAAAAGACUGUACACAUGACAGGAUUAAAUGCUCCAUGUUUACAUCUAAUAUCAAAGCGAACAAAGAAAUGGAUGUAAAGUACCGAAUGCCUACUCACUCAUAUUGUCACAUUCAAACAUUAUGGCACAACAAUCUACAAAAUUUGCGUGUAACUGAAAAGGCAAAAAUAUCAGCCUUACAUUAUCACUGUAAUUGACUAACUACUUUAGGUGAAAUUUAUAGAAACCAAGAUACUACAACAUCACUUUAAAGUUAAACUAAAGGACAUACCUCCAAUCCUGCAUACACCAGUACAAAUAAGGCAUAUCCAGCAGGGCCAUAACCUGUCCAUGUAAAGUAAGAUCACAUUUCAGGCAGAAGUUCAACUAAGGACAUUUGGCUGAAAAAAAAUCUAUGUUGUUCAGAUAGGUAUUGUGCAUAUAUGUUAAUGGCCAGUUGUGUGCUCUUUAUUUUGCCACAUAGCACACUUAGCAUGUUGAAGUAAGCUAGCCAAUAUAGCAUGUUGAUCCAAUCAAUACAUAUAUACUUCUUGAGAAACACAACACUUAAACUGUGCAAACCAUACUAAUGCCCCACUAGUUCGUUGGUUUUCCUCUAAAGCAUCAGUAUCCAGUUUCCGGUUUACUUUAGCACAGAAUCAGCAAAUAGCCACUUCUCCAGUACUAUUUCACAGCUCAGUCCAGAGUCCAGAUAGGCACAAGACAGUCAGAACUGGAUAACACAGCUGGAUUAGCCAUUACCAUCAAUGAAACCGGAGAACUGCGUGAGGAAGGUGUUGAUCUGGUCCUUGUACACGUAUCCCGCUGCCCCGAACCCCCCUACGAACCCAACCAGCAGAGCCCCGGCGAGGAGCGUCCCGGUGAUAGCCGCACCUCCAUCGCCUUCCUCACCCUCCGCAUCCUCCUCCUCCUCCUCCUCCUCCCCGACCCGUUCCGUUUUCUUCUCUCUCCCCCUCUUCAAACGCCGCCCCUUCAUCUCUCUCUCGCUUUCUCUCUGGCAUCAUCAUCNNNNNNNNNNNNNNNNNNNNNNNNNNNNNNNNNNNNNNNNNNNNNNNNNNNNNNNNNNNNNNNNNNNNNNNNNNNNNNNNNNNNNNNNNNNNNNNNNNNNNNNNNNNNNNNNNNNNNNNNNNNNNNNNNNNNNNNNNNNNNNNNNNNNNNNNNNNNNNNNNNNNNNNNNNNNNNNNNNNNNNNNNNNNNNNNNNNNNNNNNNNNNNNNNNNNNNNNNNNNNNNNNNNNNNNNNNNNNNNNNNNNNNNNNNNNNNNNNNNNNNNNNNNNNNNNNNNNNNNNNNNNNNNNNNNNNNNNNNNNNNNNNNNNNNNNNNNNNNNNNNNNNNNNNNNNNNNNNNNNNNNNNNNNNNNNNNNNNNNNNNNNNNNNNNNNNNNNNNNNNNNNNNNNNNNNNNNNNNNNNNNNNNNNNNNNNNNNNNNNNNNNNNNNNNNNNNNNNNNNNNNNNNNNNNNGGCGGGGGCUUGCUCUAGCACGCGGCGGGGCGUGCGGCCAUGAGAGCUCGGAAGCGAUAAGGCGGGGAGGGAGCAGCGGGACGGAGGAGGAAGGGGAAGCAAAGCGCUGGAGAGGAGGGGGAGGAGACGAACCGGGGCACGUGGCAGCGCGUGGGGCAAUGGUGGCGCACCGAGGCUGACAGGUGGGCCCGGCCGCCUGGUAUCUUCUAGGGUAGCAGCGGAGCACCUGGCGCGAUUCCUAGCAUGUGGUUUCAAAAUUCACCAAAAUUUACUACCUUUUCAAUAAAAUGAAUUAAAUUUAAACGCUUUGCAUCUUUCCACCUCCACAAUGGCGACACUAUCGGCAUGUGGAGACGUGAGAUCUAAUCAAGUCUAUCACCACCGCAACCGCCGGCGACGACUUGCACGGAGGUUGUCAUGGCCGAGGCGGGUGACCACGUAUGAGGAGGAGGCGAAUUGCCGGUUUCGGGUCGACGAGGCUUCUCUGUGGGCUCGAGUGCCUGGCUAUCACGUGGGCCUCCGACUUGAGCCUCGCUGGAAUUAAGCAUGUCCUUCAUGCCUCUCACGGCGAGUUAUUUGCUACUCCCUCCAUCCCAAAUUGAUUAUUAUAUAAGGUCCAGUACAAAGACCGAGAAUCUAUUUAAUUAGCAUUGGAAGACUAGAGUUAUAAAUCCCAAGCUGCAUGUACAUCAAAGCUGAUUGGAUAGAUGCAUGCAAGCAUUUAAUGUGCGUGUUAACCAAAGUGAUUUUCACACUAUAAUCAAUGCAUAAUAGACUCUUUUCUCUUAUAUGAUGAUCAAUUUGUGAUUUUUAGUUUUCUUUUAUAUGACUAAAUUGAGAGAGUAUUAUAGUACGUUGGCCUCGCCAAAAUAGUAUCCUCACUAUAGGGCUUCGUCAAAAUAGUACUCCUAAAAGUGGGGCUUCGUUAAAGUAACUAGCGGUAUGGCCCGUGCAAUUGCGCGGUUACGACCUAAAUUUAUAAUAUGAAGUAAAAUUAUUUUUAUUUCUUUUAAAUGGUUACCUUAAACUCUUCAAUUUUUAAAGACUAUUAUAUUCAUAUUUUUAUUCAAUUUUUUCUAUGUUUUUCACAUGACCUUUAUUUAUAGAUUUGUAGGAAGAAAAUUACAUUUUUAUUAUAUAAUUCUUGUAUCAAUAUACACCGGUAUAAUCUUACACCGUUAUAAUCUAGAUGAUUUCACUUUCAAAAUAUUUCUCCUUUUCUCCGAUUAAUACAUAAGUUUCUAUGCUAAUAGAGCGAAUACUAUGUUUUCUUUCAAGAUUAUAUAUUUAUAAUAAAUUUUAGAAAUUUUGUCGGAUUUCCCAGUGAAUCGAGCAAUAAUGAGAAAGUUGUUUGUUAAAUAAGAAAUCUAAUCUUCGUCUAAACAUAUGCAUGUAUAAAGAAAAGAUGACAUAGCAAUUAACGAAAAAGAAGAAAGGAAAGAAUGAAUUGCCAUGUUGCUUUGCCAGUUCCAACGUGCAAACCGUGCUUGUUUUUCUUAUUUACUGAUUUCAUUGUUGCUAGAUGUUGAUUGCUUCAUUUAUCCGCAGUUCUGUUGUAGCGAUAAGCUGAUUGCUUCUUUGGUGCUCGGUAUUUCUUCACAAAUAUUAAAUGUGACUCACAAUAUGAAACCGAGAUAAAUUCAUAUUAGGAAAUAUUUUGGCUGCCAUGACAUGGCCAAAUACGAUUUCUAAUAUUUUAUAAUUUGGAGCUAGUUUACUUUUCAAAAAAGAUCACGGUGGUAAACAUGGAAUAUGCUAGCGGUUCAGCAUGAGGUUUCCAGUUUUUAUUUGAUUUCUAAUAGUAAUUCUGCCGUAUGCAGUGCACCGAUGGCCAUGCAACAUGCCAGAUUUUGAAUAGUUAAAAGGUUUCAUCUUAGAGUCCGCUAUGGCUGGUAAUUUUUUCUUUAUCCAUUGCCUUACGCUUGGUGGAGUCCGAGAUGGCAUGUAUGGCUGGUUCUUUCUUUUUUAUCCAUGGAAUUGCACAGAUCACGGCUAGCAUAGUUAUAAAUUAUAAUUAUAUACGUAUAUUAUCUUGAUAAUAAUUAUUUUAAAUUAUUAAUUAGAAUUUAUUUUUUCUAAAUUAUAUUUUUACAUAGAAUCUCAUUUAUCUGUGUUCUAAUACAUAAACUCUUUUCUGCAUAAUAUUUAAUUUGUAAUUCAAAUUUUAGAUACUUCUAAAUUGUAUUUAUAUGUUAAUUCUUUCUCUUAAUUUUACUUAUUUUUAACUGGAAUUUAUAGUGGACUCUUCUCAAUAUCAAUUAUUUUAAAAUUUUUAAUUCAAUAUUUAGAUUGUUCUAAAUUGUAUUUACACGUGGAAUCUUUUUUAUUAUCUUUCUUUAUUUAUAAUUUUGAAACUAUAUUUAUGGAUGGAUUCUUCCCUCAAUAUACUUUUUUGAAAAGUUUUAAUCUAAAAUUUAGAUUCUUUUUAUUUUUUCUUUAUUUUUUUCUAUAAUUGUAUUUCUAAUCCUAUUCUUCUUUUUGUCCGAUUGACUCCUAUUUACAAAGUGAUGUUUAUUGUGUCAUUGCUAUGGCGUGGGCCCGUAUGGAUGGCACUUAUUUUUAUCCGCUGCCUUCCGAUUCGUAGAGUCAAAAAAACAUAAAACAAUAUUAAUUGGAAAUAUUGGUUUAUUUGAUUACUUCUAGAACUCUUAACAUAAAAUUUUCUAUCUAUAUAUGUUUUUUAAUCUUGACCAUUAAAAUAUGAGAUAAUCAUGUUCUAACGGUACAUAUUUUUUUCUUUUUCUACAACGUGGAAAUUUAUAGCCUCCAGAGCAAACGUGAGUCUCCUUUUAAGUUUGUCUUUAUUUAUAUUAUGAUAGAUAGAUAGAUAGAUAUUUUAGCAUUUUUAAAACGAUUUCUCCCCCACUUUAUCAGAAUCAGAUCGAAUUGCCCUUUUCUAUUUACUCGAGGAGACCGAGGCUGAACACGUCCGUGAGAGCGACCGAGACUAAGAGGAUCCCAACAGUUUUUUUGAUCAUCUAUAUCUAGAGAAUUGAAAAAAAGAACAUUUUUCUAAUGGAUGACAUAAAAAAUAAAUGACAUAGAUAUCUGCUGGAGCUCAACAUGGAUGAGCUGUGCGGAUGUCUGAGAAGCCGACGCCGACGCCGACGCCGUCCCCCUCCUCUCUCCGGCGCCGGCCCCGUCCCCUCCGCCUCUGCCCCUCUCCGGCACCGCUCCGCCUCCGCCUCCCCGCUCUGGCCCUUUCCGACGCGGCUCUCCCGGCGCCGCCUCGGGGCCCAACCUCUCCGGAACCACUCCGCCUCCGCCCCUCUCUCCGGCGUCUCUCUCGGCGUCGGCCCUGUCCCCCCCCCCUCCGGCCCCCUCCCCUGGACGGCUGGGGUGUGGACGGCGGUGGUGCAGCUGGCGUCGAUUGCGGGGCUGUGGAGGCCGCGGGUGCUCGCCGUCUGCGGCGGCGGAGGGGGCGCCACGGGGCUCGCCGCGCUCGCUGGCGAGGACCGCGUCGUGGCGAGGCGGCGCUCGUGCCGAGGAGUGAGUAUAUUUGUCCUUUCGCACGCCUAGUUUGUGAUAAAACAACAGCUAAUGGGAUAAAAUCGGUCAAAAUAUCAUUUUGAUGAAGCCCCUUUUUUAGAAGGACUAUUUUAACGAAGCCUAUAGCGGGGAUACUAUUUGGCUAGGCCCAUUCUACCGAGGAGCAUAAUAGCAAAUAACUCUCUCGCGGUCGCGGUCUCGCCCUCAGGCUCAGGCAAGUCAACCCCACGGAGCAAACCCCCGUUUUGUGCGGCGGCAAUGGCGACGUUCUCCGAGGCGCCCGCCGGGGACGCGGCGGCCGGCGAGAAGAUCUUCAGGACCAAGUGCGCGUACUGCCACAGCGUCGACAAGGGCGCCGGCCACAAGCAUGGUGAGCCACCGAUCCACCUAGCACUAAACUGCUAUAGCUCACUGCGCUUCGGUUGAAAUGCGAGAUUGGAGGUUUCUGCGUCGUUUUGCUGCUCUGAUCUGAUGAGGUGAUAUGUGCAGUAUGGCAGGGUUUCCCAAGUUAACAUUAUAUGCUACAUCUUACAACUACAUGUUUCUGUUUUGAUGUUUGUUUCAUGGUUACGGAUUUUGAAAUCACCAUGAAUUCAUGGGGAAAAUGCAUUGAUCGGACUAUUGGUUUUGCUGGUGCGAUGCACUUAGGCUGUUUGAGCCCUUCUUUGGAACCAGUUUCAUGGUGGUAUGCUCAGGGCCUGGUGGGGCAUAUGCUAGUUUUAAUGCUAAUCCUAAUGAUUUAAGCAUCGCGUUUGUCUGAAUCCUUCGUUGCGUCUUCUUUGGUGGUUAUCACUUUGUGAAAGCUUAAGUGACAAUCAUCAGGUACUGUUCUGUGCAGUGGCUGAAUAUCUUUCGAAGUUCAAUUCAUUUGUUCAUGUGGAGUUAUGAGCAAAGUAAAUGACAUUCUCUCUUUUUUCAGCAAAGUAGAUGUCAUUCUCCUUUUUUCUAACAGAUGCUGAUGUGCAAUUACUAAUGUCAACUAUGCCAUCCUUUGCAGGGCCAAAUUUGAAUGGUUUGUUUGGGAGGCAGGCUGGAACAGCUCCUGGUUUCUCUUACCCAUCUGGUGACAAGAUAGUGGCUGUGGUUUGGGAAGAGAACAAUCUGUACGAUUACCUGCUUAAUCCUAAGAAGGUGCGGUCAGUGUUAAUUUUCCAUCACUUCCUUUUUUUUUGUUGUAUCUUCGUGAUAUUUGUUUAUUUCUGACCAGAUAUGCCAUUAGCCAUGUUAUCCUGUGCCGAUGUUGUAGUUUGCCGGUCGAAGAGUUCAUAAUUAAGUCUGGAGACCAAAGUAAUUCGCAAGCUUUGUUGUCUGUUGAAUUGAUAGUGGUUGUGAACUUUGUUGCUGUUGCUAAUGAUAUACUUCAGCGUGCUUUUGAGCUACCACGCUGUGGACCUAAAUCCAAUAUAAUUGACCCUCUGGAACUGUUAAGUGUUAGUUUCUCAUGUUUAUACUGACUAUGUUCGUUCUUGUGUGCAUUUUCCUGUCUCUACAUAUUGUAAAUUAGUUGCUUUUGCUUCUACUCAAGUGGCAUUUGAACAACUCUGUUUACAGCAAUUCAGUUAUAUGCAUCUAUUCUCUCUAGAGGGAUAAUCAUUUGUUACUCAGUGAGAGUUGGGAUCCAUUGCAACGCAUGGACACAGUGCUAGUAUAUGUUGGGCAAUAACUACUAGUAGCUCAUUGUGCUGCUUUGUUCUAUACAUGUCUUUGCAGAUACUCUUGGUUCUGUUAUCCAGUCAUAACCUAUAGAGUAGCAGGAUUCGCAUGAAGGGUCAUUGCAUCACAAGAGCUGAUGCUGCACAGAAGAGAUUAUAGGCAUUACUAGCAAAAGAAUUGAUCUCUAAAGAAAAGCAAGAGUUAGGUUUUCUCGUAUUCAAAAAAAUAACAUGUACUUCACCUUGUCUUGCUAAGUACCUCUAAUGCAUGCCAUGCAAUUAUCUUUUCCCAGUAGCACCACAUAUGCCCAGGGCAUAUCAAAUGCUGUAUAUUUUAGGCAUAUUUGUCAUCUAUUAUAGUGAGAUUCACUCAUUCUAUAUGAUCUCAAGAUAUUGCUCUUGUUUGCUUAUGCAGUACACUCCUGCCAAAAUGGGGUUCAAUGGACUGAAGCAGCCACAGGAUCGAGCUGACCUCAUUGCAUACCUGAAGAAAGCCACAGUUUGAGAGUGCUUUGCUGCCAUCUUCCCAAGACGAAGAGAGCCUUUUGUUUGGCAGAAAAUCAAAUAGACAUCAAAGCCACUUGUGUAUUCCCUCCGUAAAAAAAAAAAUUCUAGGAAUAAAUCUAGAUAACUGUAUGUUAUUGAGAUAAAUCCCUAGAAGUUUUCUUUUUUGGAACAUAGGGAGUACUUUGCAAAACUGUGUUGUAAAUUGUUGCAAUAAUAAGCAGUGGCCUUGUGGAGGAGAGAAAAUUGUUAUUAUGCCAUCCUCGAUACGUGUAUUCGCUUAAAUAACAUUUUAAAAUUUGUAUUCGCUGAAAUACCACUCUCAAACUAGGGGAGCUAUAGGAUACGGACGAAACUGCUUCUCCCUACUUCACAGGUCACAGCACAACUCCAUCUACUCCCAGUUCCCGUCGUCUCCACCCAGCUUGGACGCUGGCGCUCUCCACCCAAGAUCACCCCCCGCCCCGCCACGUCGACCAGAUCUCGACGGCGCCGCGGGCUCGGCCCUGCUGACGCCGACGCGGGCUUGUCCCGGCCGCCUCCUCCGCCGCUCGGUCUCGCCGCCGCUGUUUCGUCCCCGCCGCCGCCCGGCCUCAUCCCCGAGCCGCCCCAGCCUCAGCUACAUACACUUUUAAGCUAUAGAAUGUAUUAAUCGUUUGCAUUUCUGCUAAUGACGGUAGAAUAGAAUAAUUUUUACUGUAUAUAGGAUAGACCGACACAGGAAAGAAAAGUCAGAAUCUAAGAUAAUACAUCGUCACCUGCUUAACGCAGGGGUAAUAAGUUUAUGAUCAUGUUAAUACAAACAUAUAAGGUGUUGCUACUUUUUUUGGUUCCUAUUAGAUGGAUGGAAUUAGUACACUAAUAGUAAUAUAUUAAUUAAUUAGUUCUUCACUAAUCAUGUUACCAACUUAAUUUUAGGAAAUACUAUCAAUUUAUGUUCUUACAACUUUAAUAUAAUCUGUAUGAGAUUACAAUAUCAAUAGAAUAUGUCAUUAAUAGAACAUGAAAUUUUAUUAUUAAAAAUGAAUAUUUAAUGUCAACCCGUGCUAAUAUACUAUUUAAUUUAAAUCAUGUAAAAAUAUUGGUUAUUAAAUGUUGCCAAAAGUUAUAUCUAAAUUUUUAAAAAUUGCCCAAAAAAUAUUAAUACUUAUAAAAUAUAUAGAAACUUAAUAUAUAAUAUAUACUAUAGAUAUUUAAUGCUACCCGCAACGUAUGGGACGACGCUAGUUCCAUUUAAUUCGCCAUUCCAACAAAUUUGACGGUAAACCCUGCUCAACCAGAGGCAUUUAGGUCAUAAUAUUGAUGCAAAUAUGUAUGUAUACAUUUUUAUUUUUAUUUAUAGCAAGAAGGGCAAAUGUUAAUUUAACAAGUUGAAUUGUUUGAGAUGAUAUUUUAGCGGAUAUAAAUAUGGGCGAAUGCACGUUGCGAAGAUGUUAGAAUAGCAACUCCGAGGAGAUGUGCAGCUCUCCGAUCCGCUUGGCCUGAGCCGCGAUGCGAGCUGUUCUUCCUGUUGGACGUCACGUGCGCUACAGCUUUGGGAAUGUGCAGUCCUUCCCGCAUAGCGUGCGGGGGACGUUGCUCUGGGGCACGAAAAGAACAGUGGCGAUGCCGCUGUCACAACCCAGGCAGGCAAAUCGCUCGAGUAUGUCGACCAGUUGGCCUAAGCUUAAAGCAAGUUUAUUACUAUGGCUGCGUUCGAACGGGAGGGCUGCAAAAGCUAAAUAGCAGCACGGGAAACGAUAAAUAUAAUUAGUAUAUGAUUAAUUAAGUAUUACUUAUUAAAAAAUUAAAAAAUAAAAUUAUUUGAUUUUUUAAACAAUUUCUAUAUAGAAAAUUUUUAAAUGAAAUAUAUCAUUUAAUAGUUUGAAAAACGUGCUAACGGAAAACGAGAAGAAAUUUAGUCUAACUUGCCAAAUCGAACGCAGCCUAUAGUCAACUGCUAGCUCCAAAUCAUAUAUAGUCAAUUUAAUUUAAUAACCAAUUUAUAUAGUAGUUAACUAUAAAACAUAUAUAUAUAUAUAUAUUAUAUACAGUUCUAGUCAUACACAUCAUAUGUUAAAGUCCGUGCUAAAGCUGAUUAUAAAUCUAUAGCAGCUAGCUUCUCUCCUCUCUUAUCUCAUAAAAUAUGCAAAAUAUGUUUAUGGCUGGGUUAUAGCCUGCAUUAACAGACGAAUGAUCUCCACUUGUGCACGUUUCCGAUGCAGAGAUUACACAUGUGUGUGCGUCCAACUAGGAAGAUUCUGCCAAAGCUAUAACAAUUUUGUGUGAAAGCAACUAGGAAGAUUACAGCAAUGUGCUGCUCUAUGUAUCUUCCGUUCCGUUGCAUUGGUAGGUUCUACACUUGCUCAAAUAAACGUAGCCGGUAGCGCUGAUUGAAUUUACAAAACAAAUUUGAAAGAAACACAAGGUCGAGUGAAUGGCAGACUUGCAGCAAGUGCCUGAAGAAUUUCAUUAGUAGCAAAUUGGGAUAAGGGAAAGGACAUUAGAAGGACCUAAUUUGUUUCCAGUGCUAGCUACUAGUAGUAGUGACGUUCAGUUUUGCUUUGCUCCUGUUGGUGAGAACAUGUGAUCCCAAGAGACCAUGCUGUAAGAGAAAAAAAAAAAGUGACACGACGGCAGGCCCACUACAUAAUGACAGAUCCCUCCAAGCCACAGAUCACAUGCAUUGCGGUACUAGUAGCACCAGGCAAGUAACACAAGUGGUCAAGUACCCAUAUUACCCCAACAUAAGGAAUCCUAUGUUCUACACUUCUACAACAAGCACAAAAAAAACAUGACAGGAAAAUCAACUGCAGAGGGGAAAUUUUGCCUUAGAAUGGAGAGAGAGGGUAAAGAGCUUGUAGAAACAGGACAAAUGCCGAUCACAAAAACAGGAGACAAUUUUGUCCCAGUUGACCAUGUCCAGCAACAGGUGCUUUGGAUACCAGGCAGUGUGCAUCUGGAUGGAUCAUGCUAAGCAGUCUAUGCAGGGGGAGGAAAUUGUAAACAAGCUCAACUGCCCACUGACCCAUUUUUAAGGAGACAUCCCCAGAUGGCCAGAUCUAUCAUCGAUGCCUUGUCAAAGCAUGUAGAGCAGGUGAGCCAUGAAACUUCUCAGGCUACAAGAGGAGCCAUGAAACUUCUCAGGCUACAAGACCAGCCAAUGAGAUAAACAUAAAGUAAAGAUCCAUUUUUUAGCCAUAUAUGAAGUCUCAGGCCUCGUCCAGCUCUCUACUUGAGUAUAUUUCAAGUGAAACAUCCUAGUGGGGAAAAUUGAUUUGAACUGAAUUCCUAGUAUGACUUAGUUUGGUCAAACAUUUGCCUAAUCUUCAUUGUUCAGUUGGAAGAAAAGGGUGUAUAGAGAUGGAGGGCAGACUGGCAAGAGGACUUGGUAGAUGGUGGUCCUUGCUUAGCAUAUGCUACCACUGUAUUUCCCACAAAGCUAUUUAUAACUGACAGCUGCUUCUUGGCAGACCUUUAAUUCAACACCAAGAAGCAAAUAUAAUAUAUACUUGCAUAGCUGUCAUGGAGAGAAGCAGCUAAGGAAUAGAGGACAAGGCUGAGGCCCAUUCCAGCCUAUGCCAUGGUGGAACUUAUUAGCUAAGAUAUUAUUGUGGAGCAGCAAAACCAACCAAAAGUGAAUUCCAACUCAGCCUUUCCAGCCAAUGCCAGAUGCACAGCUCCUCAGCGUUUGCAACAUCCAGCUACAUGCCACUUUGAUAAAUGAGAUUUGAGUACUAAACUAAUGAUGAGUCAAGCUACUUGGAAACUUUACAAAAACCUUUGAUUGCCACAAAACUGUUAUCAUUAAGGUAGUAAGAGGAAGAAAGAGGAAGAGAGAAAAGGGGAAACAUAGUAGAAGGGCAAAAGGAACAGGUGAAUAUUUCUUAGUAUCUAGGUACUUCCUUGAGAGGUAGCAUGGGCAUUGCAGCGCUUGGGGAUGAACCUGAAGGUGAGGGUGAUCCAAUAUGAGCACCACUGCGAGAGGAGAGUCCGAUUUCAUCAACACCAUCCUGUUGAAGUUGGUCUUCCCUGAUCAUAGUGCGGAAGGAUAUAGAACCACGUUUCGUUGAAGUAUCUGAAUUCCGUUCAAUUUCUCGGAAGCUCUGAUUGGCUACAAGCGAUGCACCUUCAUAAUAGUAAUCAUCAUAAGGAACCAUCUCUGCUAUUUCCCUGUGACCUAUCUCUCGGAGAGCCAAUGAAUCUGCCACAGGAUAGUACACCAGCAAGAGUACCCCAACGGUUGUGCAGGAUAUCAUCAUCAGGAAUGACAAGAAGAUGAUCACUUCAAAUGCUACAUCUCCUGGAUGGGGCAGGACAGAAAACCCAAGCAGAAGCACCCUGAUAGGGAGGAAGAAAAGCACCGAUAACAUCAGCAAGGAAACCCUCCUUCGCAGUGCCUUGUUGAUGACCAAGGACAAAACCCGAGAUCCAACAUAGGAAACAUAGCUCAUCAGGAUGGCAUCUAUAAGUCCCAGGAAAAUGGUGCCAAACAAUGGGUAGGUGCAAAUAUUUGUAUCCCCAACCGGCAUGGAUGUCCGAAUGAAGUAUUUUGCGAUCUUUCUCCUUCCAUGUGUAUCAUUCUCCUCCUUAACAAAUUUAGGCCCAAUAAACACGAGAAGAGCUUGCACGAAGAAUACCGGAACACAGAAAACCAACAUGUAGCCUAUGGUCUUCCAAUUCCAUCUUUGGUUCAAAGUGCCCAACUCCCUCUUCUGUAAUGAGCCAUGAAGAAGGAACGCAAACGCAAAGAAGAUGCUUGGCUCCGCAAACCCUAGAUUGGAAAGGAUGUACGCGUCACAUACACCCUUCUGCAAUAGUAUGCUGGAGAACAACUUUCUCUUCAAGAAGCUCAAUCUGACAAUCUCCCCUACUCCCCACCAAAUGGUGACCAGAAUCAAAACAAUGCGAGUCACCCAAGGGCCGUUAAAGUAUCCAAGUGGAAUAAAGGCCCCUCUCCGAAUCCGAAACCGGAAAUAGAUUGACUGGAAAAUGCAGAAGAGGCCCAGAAGAGCGAAGAUUGCAAACAGUGUAAUUGUUGCCACACCGAAUGCAUCGGCAGCUUCUCUGGUCAGGGGCAUCACCCGAAGCACAGCUGCCACGCAUGCUCUCCACUCGCAUCGAUAGCACAAUGGCCCUCAAAUACCAUAGACUCAGCUGCCGUCUAAGUUCCAAAUGUGUCCAGCUUCUACAGCGCUGCAAUCAUGAAAAUAAUCGCGUGAGUGGUUGCAGCACCAACGCAAAUUUGGUAAAGAAGGCCACAAGUUACUAAGGAAAUAUUUGCUCUUUACUACCCGUCAUGCCCGAACCCUCCAAAGCUAGUACGAUUCGGCUACGCAAUAAACCUUAUCCCCACAAAAGAAGAUGCUCCCAUUGUACCACUGGCUAUACUCAUAGUUCGCAUAAACCCAGUUUAAUCUGCUAAAUUAGCAUGCACACCACCGAGGAUGUGUCAGUUGGUCGCGCAUUACUUGCAUGAGCUAACCAUUCCAGCACCCCAAAAGCAGCAAUUUUAAGCACGAACACUUCGAAACGAGCAAGCGCAUCACUUCCCAUAGCCCACAAGCAGCAUAUCUGCUCAUCCCCCAGCCCAACCCAACUGUUCAAACCAAAACCCAUCAAGCAAGCACCCACCGAGGCAGUAGAAGAUCACUAGCGGCUCCCUCCCCUCCCCUCCCCACCCCAAGCAUCUAGAGCAAGGCCGAAAGCUCACCUCGGCGGAAGGACGGGGAGACAGCGCGGGGAGCGCCCUGGUGGGGAGCUCCCCCCGGGCGACGGGCCCCCGCCGGCGGUGGUACACACACGCCCACCCGCGACGGGAUCCGGGCGGUUCAGGGCUCGAGCGUGGGGCCGCGCGGCGAGCUGGCGGCGGAGGCGAAGCCGGGGUGGGGAACGAAGAGGGAGGGGAGAGCGAGAGGGGGAGGAGAGAGAGGGAGAGAGAGAGAGAGUAGAGAGACAGAGCGAAGAAGAGGGGGAGAGCCGGAGAG
rnacentral:lncRNA from 1 species